rnacentral:rRNA from 1 species
UACGGGGGGAGGCAAGCGUUGUUCGGAUUUACUGGGCGUAAAGGGCGCGUAGGCGGCCUCGUGCAAGUCGACUGUGGAAAUACUCCGGGGCUUAACCCCGGAAAGGUCAGCCAGAUACUGCAGGGCCUAGAGUGCAGAAGGGGCAACUGGGAAUUCUCGGUGUAGCGGUGAAAUGCGUAGAUAUCGAGAGGAACACCUGCGGCGAAGGCGGGUUGCUGGGCUGACACUGACGCUGAAGCGCGAAAGCUAGGGGAGCGAACGGG